GCCUCAGUAACGGCGAGUGAAGCGGCAACAGCUCAAAUUUGAAAUCUGGCUCUUUUAGGGCCCGAGUUGUAAUUUGUAGAGGAUGCUUCGGCGUCGGCUCCGGUCUAAGUUCCUUGGAACAGGACGUCAUAGAGGGUGAGAAUCCCGUAUGUGAUCGGUUGCCUUUGCCAUGUGAAGCUCCUUCGACGAGUCGAGUUGUUUGGGAAUGCAGCUCUAAAUGGGAGGUAAAUUUCUUCUAAAGCUAAAUACCGGCCAGAGACCGAUAGCGCACAAGUAGAGUGAUCGAAAGAUGAAAAGCACUUUGGAAAGAGAGUCAAAAAGUACGUGAAAUUGUUGAAAGGGAAGCGCUUGCAACCAGACCUGCCUGCAGUUGUUCAUCCGGGCUUCUGCCCGGUGCACUCUUCUGCUGUCAGGCCAGCAUCAGUUCGGGCGGUCGGAUAAAGGCUUUGGGAAUGUAGCUCCUCUCGGGGAGUGUUAUAGCCCGUUGCGAAAUGCGGCCAGCCUGGACUGAGGUCCGCGCUUCGGCUAGGAUGCUGGCGUAAUGGUUGUAAGCGGCCCGUCUUGAAACACGGACCAAGGAGUCUAACAUCUGUGCGAGUGUUUGGGUGUCAAACCCGUACGCGUAAUGAAAGUGAACGGAGGCGGGAACCUCUCGGGGUGCACCGUCGACCGAUCCUGAUGUCUUCGGAUGGAUUUGAGUAAGAGCAUAGCUGUUGGGACCCGAAAGAUGGUGAACUAUGCCUGAAUAGGGUGAAGCCAGAGGAAACUCUGGUGGAGGCUCGCAGCGGUUCUGACGUGCAAAUCGAUCGUCAAAUUUGGGCAUAGGGGCG
rnacentral:rRNA from 1 species